rnacentral:lncRNA from 1 species
AUGAGCACCGCGGCUGGAGUCGGGCUGCGGGCGGCUGCGGCCGCGGGAGUCGGCAAAAGUUUGUGGCUCAGUCGCACCUUCGCGGGACCUGCUGUGGACGCCCCCGCGCGGCCUCCCCCGGGACGGGGCACCGGGCCGUCCCCGCGCACGCCGCGCGUCCUCGGAGCCCAGCGCCUGAGCCGCCGGGGCGGGGCGGGGCAGGCGGGGGGUCCCGGGAGUCCCAGACCCGCAGCUGCAGGACGGGCGAGCCCCGCCGCCCUCCCCGCCUCCGCGCCACGGCCUCCGGGCGGAGCCGCUCGGGAUGCCCGCGGCGCAGCGAGCGCUCCGGGGCCGCCGCCCGGGGAGGCCCCCCGCCCCCCGCGCGGCCCGCUCGCCCGUCCGCGCCGCGGCACCCCUGCCCCCCGGGGCGCGCGGGCCAUUGUUCCGGGCCCGCGGGCGGCGGCCUUCCCUGCGCGGGCUGCGGCGCGGCGGGCCCCGGACGGCCGGCUCCGCGCGGAGGGGGAGCUCCCGGGCACCGGGAAAAGUUGCUCGGAGGGGCGGAGGCGGUGGGUGGUGGGUGGUGGGCGGAGGCGGUGGGUGGGGGAGGCGAUAGUCCUCCUAUCUCCAAAGUCGAAAGUACUCGGCGCAGUUAGCAGAACCGGGAGCCGAGGCAGCCGCGCUCGCCUGCUGCGCGUCGGGCUGCGCCUCCGCGGGGAGACCGGGGAGACCAGGCAGCCGCGCCCGCCGAGCCGCCGCCGCCGCCGCCGCCGCCCCCGCGCCGGGACCAGUGCGCCUCGGGGCCGGGCGAGGCGGCCGCGCCCCGGACCCGCCGCGAGGAGGAGGAGCGGACCCGAGCCCCGGCGGCGCCCGGGCGCACCCGCACCCGCACCCACCCGCACCCGCACCCGCCGGCCCGGCCGCCGCCCCGCGCGGCUCUCGCUCCUCUGCCAUCGCUCCUCCGCCGCCCCACGCGCGCGGUCCUCGCCCCGCGGCUGCGCUGCCGCCGACUCCCCGCUUCCUCCUCCGCCCUCCUCCCUGCUUCCCACCCGCCCCUCGCCAGCCCCUCUGCCUCCUCCGCAGCCCCGCCGCUGUUUGGGUCGCCGGGCUCACAGCGAUUGA